rnacentral:rRNA from 1 species
UCCAGACUCCUACGGGAGGCAGCAGUGGGGAAUAUUGGGCAAUGGGCGCAAGCCUGACCCAGCAACGCCGCGUGAAGGAAGAAGGCUUUCGGGUUGUAAACUUCUUUUGACAGGGAAGAGCAGAAGACGGUACCUGUCGAAUAAGCCACGGCUAACUACGUGCCAGCAGCCGCGGUAAUACGAAGGGGGCAAGCGUUGUUCGGAAUUACUGGGCGUAAAGGGAGUGUAGGCGGUUUAGUAAGAUAGUGGUGAAAUCCCAGAGCUUAACUUUGGAAUUGCCAUUAUAACUAUUAGACUAGAAUUACAGAGAGGAUAGUGGAAUACCCAGUGUAGAGGUGAAAUUCGUAGAUAUUGGGUAGAACACCAGUGGCGAAGGCGACUAUCUGGCUGUACAUUGACGCUGAGGCUCGAAAGCAUGGGGAUCAAACAGGAUUAGAUACCCGGGUAA